AGCGAACGCUGGCGGCAGGCCUAACACAUGCAAGUCGAGCGCCCAGCAAUGGGAGCGGCAGACGGGAUAGUAACACGUGGGAACGUACCUUUCAGUUCGGAACAACCAAGGGAAACUGUGGCUAAUACCGAAUACGCCCGUAAGGGGAAAGAUUUAUCGCUGAAAGAUCGGCCCGCGUCUGAUUAGCUAGUUAGUGAGGUAAUGGCUCAGCAAGGCGACGAUCAGUAGCUGGUCUGAGAGGAUGAACAGCACCACUGGGACUGAGACACGGCCCAGACUCCUACGGGAGGCAGCAGUGGGGAAUAUUGGACAAUGGGCGCAAGCCUGAUCCAGCCAUGCCGCGUGAGUGAUGAAGGCCUUAGGGUUGUAAAGCUCUUUCGUCAGGGAAGAUAAUGACGGUACCUGAAGAAGAAGCCCCGGCUAACUUCGUGCCAGCCGCCGCCGUAAGAC
rnacentral:rRNA from 1 species